rnacentral:rRNA from 1 species
AAUCCUCGGCAAUGGGCGAAAGCCUGACCGAGCGACGCCGCGUGGAGGAUGAAGGCCUUCGGGUCGUAACCUCCUAAAAGAGGGACGAUAGUGACGGUACCUCUGUAAAAGCACCGGCUAACUCCGUGCCCGCAUCCGCGGUAAUACGGCGGGUGCAAGCGUUCUCCGGAAUCACUGGGCGUAAAGGGAGCGUAGGCGGUCUGUUAAGUCCGAUGUUAAAGGAUGGGGCUCAACCCCAGUAAAGCGUUGGAUACUGGCAGGCUAGACGGUUGGAGAGGCGAGUGGAAUUACCAGUGUAGCGGUGAAAUGCGUAGAUACUGGUAGGAACACCCAUGGCGAAGGCAGCUCGCUGGACAACCCGUGACGCUGAGGCGCGAAAGUGUGGGGAGCAAACCGG